rnacentral:tRNA from 1 species
UCCUGGAUAGCUCAGUCGGUAGAGCAAGCGGCUGUUAACCGCUUGGUCGCAGGUUCGAGUCCUGCUCCAGGAG